rnacentral:rRNA from 1 species
CUCCCGUAGGGCCCACCUGUUGCGAAGGCGCCACACUAGAACGGAUCUGACGGUCAGGGACGAAGCCUAGGGGCACGAACCGGAUUAGAUACCCGGGUAGUCAUAGGUAUAAACGCUGUGGACUUGGUGUCGGGGAUCUCUAGAGGAUUCUCGGUGCCGUAGUGAAGAUGUUUAGUCCACUGCCUGGGGAGUACGGUCGCAAGGCUGAAACUUAAAGGAAUUGGCGGGGGAGCACUGCAACGAGAGGAGCGUGCGGUUUAAUUGGAUUCAACGCCGGAAAACUCACCAAAGCCGACUGUUAUAUGAAGACCAGCGUAAUGAGCUUGUCGGAUUUUCAGAGAGGUAGUGCAUGGCCGUCGUCAGUUCGUACCGUAAGGCGUUCUGUUAAGUCAGAUAACGAACGAGACCCCCAUCGUCAUUUGCUAAUCCGUUCUCCGGAACGGACGCACUAUGGCGAGACCGCUGGCGUGAAGUCAGAGGAAGGCGGGGGCAACGGUAGGUCAGUAUGC